GGGCUGGAAGCGCGCGGAGGGGGACGGGAAGGAAGAAAGGCGACUGCGGACCUGGUGAGGAGGUCACCUCCGCUGCGUGUUGCUCCCUGGGGCGGACAGUGCCUAUCCUGACUGUCAGCUCGCCCCUGACUGCCUUGUCUCGCGUGCGCUUUCAGUACCGUCACAGAUGGCCCCGUUUUAAUUUUCUCAAGAGCAAUGAAGUUUGAAAAUUAAGUCACCAAGAAGUUGUGGGGGAGAUUACCUGCAAAAAAAGCUCUUGUGGAAUGAGCAUUGCAGGAAAAAAAGAAAAAGAUAGGAAGCCUACAAAGUUUAUUAUGCUUUAUCAGGAAAAUACAAGGUCAGUCUUUCCUAAGAGGCCUUGUAUUUCAAUUCCCCGGGCCAGAAACUGCUACUGGACAGACUGAACCAAAGCCAAAGGGAAGAUCCACUAUAAUCAAUCUACUUUCUGACCAAUGGCACAGGGUUCCUGACCUCCUCCAUUCUCCGGAUUCUAUGUCUGUUCAGCCCUGUGAGCAUGGGCACUUAGGAGAAAUGUGCACAUCACUUCAAUGAUUUCCCCACUCCUGGAUUAAUCUGGGUCCACUCAAAGUCUGCUUUCUGCCAACAGUGAACCCCAGGGGUCAGGAGGCCGAAGGUUCUCAGUGUCUACACGGGGUUCUUCUGGAGGCCCAGCGACGACCCUUUCCUUCCAGAUC